rnacentral:rRNA from 1 species
UACAGAGGGUGCAAGCGUUGUUCGGAAUCAUUGGGCGUAAAGCGCACGUAGGCGGCUUUGCAAGUCGGGUGUGAAAGCCUGGGGCUCAACCCCAGAAGUGCAUUCGAAACUGCAGAGCUUGAGUGUCGGAGAGGGUGGUGGAAUUCCGAGUGUAGAGGUGAAAUUCGUAGAUAUUCGGGAGGAACACCAGUGGCGAAGGCGACCACCUGGACGAACACUGACGCUGAGGUGCGAAAGCGUGGGGAGCAAACAGG